CCUACGGGAGGCAGCAGUGAGGAAUAUUGGUCAAUGGACGGAAGUCUGAACCAGCCAUGCCGCGUGCAGGAAGACGGCUCUAUGAGUUGUAAACUGCUUUUGUACAAGGGUAAACCUGAAUACGUGUAUUCAGCUGAAAGUACUGUACGAAUAAGGAUCGGCUAACUCCGUGCCAGCAGCCGCGGUAAUACGGAGGAUCCAAGCGUUAUCCGGAUUUAUUGGGUUUAAAGGGUGCGUAGGCGGAUUGAUAAGUUAGAGGUGAAAGGUGGGGGCUCAACUCGGGAACUGCCUCUAAUACUGUCUAUCUAGAGAGUAGAUGCGGUAGGCGGAAUGUAUGGUGUAGCGGUGAAAUGCUUAGAGAUCAGACAGAACACCGAUUGCGAAGGCAGCUUACCAAUCUAUAUCUGACGUUGAGGCACGAAAGCGUGGGGAGCAAACAGGAUUAGAUACCCUUGUAGUC
rnacentral:rRNA from 1 species